rnacentral:rRNA from 1 species
GAUGAACGCUGGCGGCGUGCCUAAUACAUGCAAGUCGAGCGAACGGACGAGAAGCUUGCUUCUCUGAUGUUAGCGGCGGACGGGUGAGUAACACGUGGAUAACCUACCUAUAAGACUGGGAUAACUUCGGGAAACCGGAGCUAAUACCGGAUAAUAUUUUGAACCGCAUGGUUCAAAAGUGAAAGACGGUCUUGCUGUCACUUAUAGAUGGAUCCGCGCUGCAUUAGCUAGUUGGUAAGGUAACGGCUUACCAAGGCAACGAUGCAUAGCCGACCUGAGAGGGUGAUCGGGCACACUGGAAAUGAGACACGGUCCAGAGUAAUAAGGGAGGCAGGAGUAGGGAAUCUUCAGAAAUGGGCGAAAGCCUGAAGGAGCAACGCCGAGUGAGUGAUGAAGGUCUGCGGAUCGUAAAACUCUGUUAUUAGGGAAGAAAAUAUGUGUAAGUAACUGUGCACAUCUUGACGGUACCUAAUAAGAAAGCAACGGCUAACUACGUG